rnacentral:rRNA from 1 species
GAGGGGCAGCGGGGCGGCAGGCUUGCCUGCCGUUGCCGGCGACCGGCGCACGGGUGAGUAACACGUAUGCAACCUGCCCGUGGCAGGGGGAUAAGCGGGGGAAACCCCGUCUAAUACCGCGUAACGCGGCCUUGGGGCAUCCCCGGGCCGCCAAAGGGAGCAAUCCCGGCCACGGAUGGGCAUGCGGCGCAUUAGCUAGUCGGCGGGGUAACGGCCCACCGAGGCGACGAUGCGUAGGGGUUCUGAGAGGAAGGCCCCCCACACUGGUACUGAGACACGGACCAGACUCCUACGGGAGGCAGCAGUGAGGAAUAUUGGUCAAUGGGCGCGAGCCUGAACCAGCCAAGUCGCGUGAGGGAAGACGGCCCUACGGGUUGUAAACCUCUUUUGCCGGGGAGCAACGGGCGCCACGUGUGGCGCCACUGAAAAUACCCGGAGAAAAAGCAUCGGCUAACUCCGUGCCAGCAGCCGCGGUAAUACGGAGGAGGCGAGCGGUUAUCCGGAUUUCUUGGGUUUCAAGGGCGCGUAGGCGGAGCGNNAAGCCAGNGGNCAAANAGAGGGGCUCAACCCCNCCCCGCCACCCAAACCGGCGCUCCCGAGCGGAAGAGAAGCACGCGGAACGCGCGGAGNAGCGGNGAAANGCANAGACAUCACGAGAAACCCCGANNGCGAAGGCAGCANGCCGGCUUCNNANNGACGNNGAAGCACGAAAGCGAGGGGAUCCCUUAAAGGAAGAGCCCCNGGNNGUCCNCGCGGAANACGAACCCUUAUGAAAUCGGGGGGGAAUGGCCCUGGGGUGCCACAGCGAAAGCGUUAAGCGCUCCACUUUGGGGAGUACGCCGGCAACGGUGAAACUCAAAGGAAUUGACGGGGGCCCGCACAAGCGGAGGAACAUGUGGUUUAAUUCGAUGAUACGCGAGGAACCUUACCCGGGCUCAAACGUUGCAGGAAGGGCUUCUGAAAGGAAGCCCGUCUACGGACCUGCAACGAGGUGCUGCAUGGUUGUCGUCAGCUCGUGCCGUGAGGUGUCGGCUUAAGUGCCAUAACGAGCGCAACCCCUACCGCCAGUUGCCAACAGGCAAAGCUGGGGACUCUGGCGGGACUGCCGGCGCAAGCUGCGAGGAAGGCGGGGAUGACGUCAAAUCAGCACGGCCCUUACGUCCGGGGCGACACACUUGUUACAAUGGCAGGUACAGCGGGAAGCCACCUGGCGACAGGGAGCGGAACCCGAAAGCCUGUCUCAGUUCGGAUUGGAGUCUGCAACCCGACUCCAUGAAGCUGGAUUCGCUAGUAAUCGCGCAUCAG